rnacentral:rRNA from 1 species
AACGAACGCUGGCGGCAGGCCUAACACAUGCAAGUCGAGCGAGGACUUCGGUCCUAGCGGCGGACGGGUGAGUAACGCGUGGGAACGUGCCCUUUGCUUCGGAAUAGCCCUGGGAAACUGGGAGUAAUACCGGAUGAGCCCUUUGGGGGAAAGAUUUAUCGGCGAAGGAUCGGCCCGCGUUGGAUUAGGUAGUUGGUGGGGUAAUGGCCUACCAAGCCGACGAUCCACAGCUGGUUUGAGAGGAUGAUCAGCCACACUGGGACUGAGACACGGCCCAGACUACUCCCGGAGGUGGCAGUGGGGAAUCUUAGACGAUGGGGGAAGGCCUGAAGUAGCCUGGCCGCGUAAGCGAUGAAAGCCGUAGGGUAGGAAAGCUCGUUAAGCUGGUGAGAUACGGAAGGUACCAGAAGAAGAAGCAACGGCUAACUCCGUG